rnacentral:sRNA from 1 species
GCUUUCCACCCUACAUAAACAACCUCGGGAGCUGUCUCUCGCGAUGGUGAGCAUGCCGUGUUUAUCUCGGAAGCCUAAAGUCGUGAAAUGGUACCCACAUAGUCACUCGGGGUUGGAAAGCC